ACAAAGCCCUAGCUAGCCAGUAACUAGCUAACACCAGACACAGAUGAAGACCUAGCUAGCCAGUAACUAGCUAACACCAGACAUAAAGACCUAGCUAGCCAGUCACUAGCUAACACCAGACAUAAAGACCUAGCUAGCCAGUAACUAGCUAACACCAGACAUAAAGACCUAGCUAGCCUGUAACUAGCUAACACCAGACAUAAAGACCUAGCUAGCCAGUCACUAGCUAACACCAGACAUAAAGACCUAGCUAGCCAGUAACUAGGUAACACCAGACAAAGACCUAGCUAGCCAGUCACUAGCUAACACCAGACAUAAAGACCUAGCUAGCCUGUAACUUGGUAACACCAGACAAAGACCUAGCUAGCCAGUAACUAGCUAACACCAGACACAGAUGAAGACCUAGCUAGCCAGUAACUAGCUAACACCAGACAUAAAGACCUAGCUAGCCAGUCACUAGCUAACACCAGACAUAAAGACCUAGCUAGCCAGUCACUAGCUAACACCAGACAUAAAGCUAGCCAGUCACUAGCUAACACCAGACAUAAAGACCUAGCUAGCCAGUCACUAGCUAACACCAGACAUAAAGACCUAGCUAGCCAGUAACUUGGUAACACCAGACAAAGACCUAGCUAGCCAGUAACUAGCUAACACCAGACACAGAUGAAGACCUAGCUAGCCAGUAACUAGCUAACACCAGACAUAAAGACCUAGCUAGCCAGUCACUAGCUAACACCAGACAUAAAGACCUAGCUAGCCAGUAACUAGCUAACACCAGACAUAAAGACCUAGCUAGCCUGUAACUAGCUAACACCAGACAUAAAGACCUAGCUAGCCAGUCACUAGCUAACACCAGACAUAAAGACCUAGCUAGCCAGUAACUAGGUAACACCAGACAAAGACCUAGCUAGCCAGUCACUAGCUAACACCAGACAUAAAGACCUAGCUAGCCUGUAACUUGGUAACACCAGACAAAGACCUAGCUAGCCAGUAACUAGCUAACACCAGACACAGAUGAAGACCUAGCUAGCCAGUAACUAGGUAACACCAGACAAAGACCUAGCUAGCCAGUCACUAGCUAACACCAGACAUAAAGACCUAGCUAGCCAGUCACUAGCUAACACCAGACAAAGACCUAGCUAGCCAGUAACUAGCUAACACCAGACAUAAAGACCUAGCUAGCCUGUAACUUGGUAACACCAGACAAAGACCUAGCUAGCCAGUCACUAGCUAACACCAGACAUAAAGACCUAGCUAGCCAGUCACUAGCUAACACCAGACAAAGACCUAGCUAGCCAAUAACUAGCUAACACCAGACAUAAAGACCUAGCUAGCCAGUCACUAGCUAACACCAGACAUAAAGACCUAGCUAGCCAGUCACUAGCUAACACCAGACAUAAAGACCUAGCACGCCAGUAACUAGCUAACACCAGACAAAGAUGAAGACCUAGCUAGCCAGUAACUAGCUAACACCAGACAUAAAGACCUAGCUAGCCAGUAACUAGGUAACACCAGACAAAGA